AAAAACAUUGAAUAAAAAAAAAAAAAAGAAAAAUACGGAUGUAUAAAAAAAAUUUCUUGCGCAUUCCGUGUGCGCUGCCUGCCCCCCACUCACGCACACCUCACCGAGUGAACCAACAAUGAAAAAUUCUUAUUUAGAGAUUAAGAAAAAAUUGUAACAUAGAAACUCGACGUGUCAUUCCUCACGGAUUCUUAAAAUAAUUUUUUUUUUUUUUCACUCUUUGCUUAAUUGAAGUACUUUUUUUCGUUUGAAUCGUUUCUCGAUACGAUCUCGCAAUCCACCAAUCGCUUUGCGCUCACGCAUCCAUGUGCUACAGAGGGCGAUUUUCGUUCGAUGAAAAGACAUUAAAAGAUCUUAAAAAGAAAAAAGAUGAAGAAAUUGAAGAUAUUUACCGUUCGAUUAGGACGGUUAAGUAAAUCACAAACAUUGUGUUCCACAAUAUACGAUAGUAUCCGUUUAUGGUGUGUUUCGAUUUCUACCAGAUACCGGAAGAACAGAUCAAAAUUGUAAUUCAUUAUGCAGUGUAUAUAUGCGUGCAUAGUAUUAGUUUGAGUUUACUGUUUCUGGUCAUGUAAGCAAGUUUCAUCGUUGUUAAUAUUAGCGGCAAUUUGUAUAAUGUAGACAAUAUUGCGGCGACGUUAGAAACACAUACUUUAGUUACAUAUAUCGCCUUUGUUGUAAAAGCAACGAAUGUUAAUGUCUUCCGUGUACCUCUGUGUGUGUGUGUGUGUGUGUGUGUGUGUGUGUGUGUGUGUUAGAACCAAUAUCACAUGAUUUGUGAUGAGAAAAAAAAA